GUCUGGGUGAUGGUGGCCCGCAGUUCCUGCGCGGUUGUCCAGAAUUCUAAGGCUUUCAGCAGAGAUUUGAGAAAUGGCAACAAAUGAAAGUAUCGUCAUCUUUAGUUCAGCAUCCUUGGCUGUGGAGUAUGUAGAUUCACUUUUACCUGAGAACCUUCUACAAGAACCAUUUAAAAAUGCUUGGAACUCUAUGUUGAAUAAUUAUACAAAGUUCCAGAUUGCAACAUGGGGAUCCUUGAUAGUUCAUGAGGUCCUUUAUUUCUUGUUCUGUUUACCUGGAUUUUUGUUUCAAUUUAUACCUUACGUGAAAAAGUACGAAAUUCAAAAGGAUAAACCAGAAACAUGGGAAAACCAAUGGAAAUGUUUUAAAGUACUUCUCUUUAAUCACUUUUGUAUCCAGCUUCCUUUGAUCUGUGGAACUUAUUAUUUUACAGAGUAUUUUAAUAUACCUUGUGAUUGGGAAAGAAUGCCAAGAUAGUAUCUGCUUUUGGCAAGAUGCUUCGGCUGUGCAGUGAUUAAGGAUACCUGGCACUAUUUCCUGCAUAGGCUCUUACAUCACAAAAGAAUAUAUAAAUAUAUUCAUAAAGUUCAUCAUGAGUUUCAGGCUCCAUUUGGAAUGGAAGCUGAAUAUGCACAUCCCUUGGAAACUUUGAUUCUUGGAACUGGAUUUUUCAUUGGAAUCAUGCUUUUAUGUGAUCAUGUCAUUCUCCUUUGGGCAUGGGGGACUAUUUGUUGAUAGACACUAUUGAUGUCCAUAGUGGUUAUGACAUUCUUCUCAACCCUUUAAAUCUGAUCCCUUUCUAUGCUGGUUCUUGGCAUCAUGAUUUCCACCACAUGAACUUCAUCGGAAACUAUGCUUCAACAUUUACAUGGUGGGAUAGAAUUUUCAGAACAGACUCUCAAUUUAUUGCCUACAAUGAAAAGAUGAAGAAGAUUGAGAAAAAGACUGAAUAAAUAUCUCAUCUAAACCUUCCUGAAGAUACACACUUUCCUGAAUUGAAGCGAGUAGCUAACGUUGCUUCUGCGGAGCAGAAAUAAACAUGUGUCUUGGCUGCUAAGUGACACAAAGAACGUUAACAACCUUUAAUUAUCUUCCUAGUGGGAACUUUUUCUACUUUACAUAAAAGUUCUGUACGUGUAGAAAUAAGUAUAUAUUUAAGUACGAUUUUCAUGAGGAAGUUGUAAAGGCCUUGUUGCUAACCUUACAGAAAGGUUUUAAGUAAUGGAAGAAGUAUUAAUUUCUCUCUUUCCCCCCAGUAAUACCAUAGGCCUGAAGUUGAAAUUGGUCUUUAAAAUCUUUUAAAUAUAUAGUGGCCAUUUCAGAAACUCUUAGGAGGGUGUUGGCCUCAUAUUGAACUUUAAACAUUUUUUAGAAUUUGCCUAAACAUCAAAGUAUCAUGAGUUGAACCAUAUCAGUUGACAGUGAGUGAGGCUGCCGAAUCAGGAAUAGCCAGUACCAAGAACUUCAUUCUUGUCCUGAGCUGACCGGUUUGGGGUGAUUCUCUUUCUUUGAGAAGUCCUUUGGGAUUGCACUGUACUACUGGUAUCUAUAAAUUAAGGCAUUUCUGAAUUGUUGUAAGUGGAAUAUUUUAGUCUAAAGGUUUUCAGGUUACUUGAAUUUUUUAAAAAAUUGAGCUUUAUUUCUGCUAUUUACCCUUCCAUUUUUGUAUAUCAAGUUUUCAUUAUACUUAAAACUGUAUCUUGAAACAUGAACUGACUUGCUGUAUUUGCACUUUGAACUAUUGAAAUAAAUGUGAUUUUUUUGUCUGAUAAAAAAAAA